rnacentral:lncRNA from 1 species
CGAAAAGUUGUGUCCUUCCCUUAGGAUCGAACCGGUGUGUAUAUCCUUGUAUCGAUUCCUGUUGGAGCGUGUGCCCCAGGAGUGCCGGGACCCUGCUGUGUUUCGGGAGGUGGUGGAUCUUCUAUGUGGUGCCUCGUGCUACGAGUUCGGAGGCGGAGUUUAUGGGCAGGGGCAAGGAGUGCCGAUGGGCGGCCCGAUGGCGGGAACCCUCGCUGAACUGCUGUUGGGAGGGCUUGAGUCUGAUAACCUUGGUCAUCUCAUCGAGCGGGCGGUCUUGUGCGUGAGGUGUAUUGAUGAUGUUUUCGCUGUCUGGAGGGAUGGGAGUGGUAUACAGCGGUUGGCCAGCGAUUUCACAUUGCCGGAGUGUGGGCUGGAGCUCAGGCUUGAU